AUGGCCGACGCAGGUCAAAGAGUAGUAUCUGUUCAUAUCAGCGUAAUAUCUGAUAAGGGUUGUACUUGGACCCGAGAUAUGAAGCUCAUUUUUGCAAGUUGCCGGAGUGCUUGAAGCCUGCUUCACCUCCACCGCGGGUCGGCCUUGUAUUGCACUAUCUUUGGGAUUUUUGGUCUACGGACA